rnacentral:rRNA from 1 species
AUUGAACGCUGGCGGCAUGCCUUACACAUGCAAGUCGAACGGUAACGGGCCUUCGGGUGCCGACGAGUGGCGAACGGGUGAGUAAUACAUCGGAACGUGCCCGAUCGUGGGGGAUAACGAGGCGAAAGCUUUGCUAAUACCGCAUACGAUCUACGGAUGAAAGCAGGGGACCGCAAGGCCUUGCGCGGACGGAGCGGCCGAUGGCAGAUUAGGUAGUUGGUGGGAUAAAAGCUUACCAAGCCGACGAUCUGUAGCUGGUCUGAGAGGAUGAUCAGCCACACUGGGACUGAGACACGGCCCAGACUCCUACGGGAGGCAGCAGUGGGGAAUUUUGGACAAUGGGCGCAAGCCUGAUCCAGCCAUGCCGCGUGCAGGAUGAAGGCCUUCGGGUUGUAAACUGCUUUUGUACAGAACGAAAAGCCUUCUUUUAAUACAGGAGGGUCAUGACGGUACCGUAAGAAUAAGCACCGGCUAACUACGUG